rnacentral:rRNA from 1 species
CUUGGCGACCAUAGCGUUUUGGACCCACCUGAUUUCCAUGCCGAACUCAGAAGUGAAACGAAAUAGCGCCGAUGGUAGUGUGGGGCUUUUC